UACGGAGGGGGCUAGCGUUGUUCGGAAUUACUGGGCGUAAAGCGCACGUAGGCGGCUUUGUAAGUUAGAGGUGAAAGCCCGGGGCUCAACUCCGGAAUUGCCUUUAAGACUGCAUCGCUAGAAUUGUGGAGAGGUAAGUGGAAUUCCGAGUGUAGAGGUGAAAUUCGUAGAUAUUCGGAAGAACACCAGUGGCGAAGGCGGCGUGCUGGGUUGCAACUGACGCUGAGAUGCGAAAGUGUGGGGAGCAAACGGG
rnacentral:rRNA from 1 species